ACCUACGGGGGGCAGCAGUGAGGAAUAUUGGGCAAUGGGCGAAAGCCUGACCCAGCCACGCCGCGUGAGUGAUGAAGGCCUUCGGGUCGUAAAGCUCUGUGGGGAGGGACGAACAAGUGCGUACCUAACACGUACGUGCCCUGACGGUACCUCCUUAGCAAGCACCGGCUAACCAUGUGCCAGCAGCCGCGGUAAUACAUGGGGUGCAAACGUUGCUCGGAAUCAUUGGGCGUAAAGCGCACGUAGGCGGCCACUUAAGUCGGAUGUGAAAGCCCUUGGCUUAACUGAGGAAGUGCAUCCGAAACUGAGCGGCUUGAGUACGAAAGAGGGUCGCGGAAUUCCCGGUGUAGAGGUGAAAUUCGUAGAUAUCGGGAGGAACACCGGCGGCGAAGGCGGCGACCUGGUUCGAGACUGACGCUGAGGUGCGAAAGCGUGGGGAGCAAACAGGCUUAGAUACCCUGGUAGU
rnacentral:rRNA from 1 species